CUCUAGUUGGUACCUAUGUGCAGCAUCCUCACAUAGCUCCAAUGUCAGCACAGAACAUAGAGUAGGGGCCAUUGGAUGUUCUGGUGUUCUCAGGUCUAACUGUAACUGCCACAUGUCACCAUAGUCCCUCAUUUCACCUCAUAGUUCCCCAGGACACACCUAUCUUCUCUCCCCAGUCCCUUCAGUCAUUAGAAAAUGAUUAAGAAAGUGUUUCCAUUUCCAUGAUGUGGCUGCUCUGUCUUCUGAUCCCUACAGCCCCUCUGAUGCUGAAGGAACUGGAGUCCCCUGGAUUGGGAGCCCUGAGCCCAUUGUAGUGACUUGUGUUCCUGCAUAGGGACCAAGAGAAUCUGGGUCCUGUGUGUUGCUGCAUUGUUUCCUUCAACCUUUCUUUGUUGCUCCCCAUAACCACACAUUUUUGUAAAUCUCCCAGUACUACCGUGGUGAGCCCCUCCAUCAUCCCCUCUGCCGUCCCCACAGCUGGUCUGGAGGACACAAGGGGCCAGAGGAAUCCUUCACUGCUGAAAUUGGGAGCCAUGGUUGGGAUGGUCAUGUCCAAAGUUGUGGUCAUCAUCCCCCUCUAUGGAUGGGUGAUCUUCCUGUGGUGGAAGCAAAGGCCAGCAGAGUAAAGCCUAAAGCAUAGUAAGGCUCCCCACUGCUAGGAUUUCUCAUCAGGAAACCAUCCACCGUGACCCAGAAGGAAUGAAACCAUGCUUCUCAUGACAGAACAAUUUCAUGGCCAUGCUCAAUAGAGAUCUACCAACCAUAGUGAGCCAUAAAUGAAGAGGUAUGGAUACAGCUCCACUUCUCCAAUCACAAGCAUCAAAUGAAUAUCAUCCAUGGGCUUUUUCUUGGUCAUUGGGAAACUGUUUGGUCUCGAGGAGGUCACCAAAACUGAUGUGGCUAAUGUGAAGUGUCCUGGAACAGCUGUGAGAUGUCUACUCUGGUUGUGACUGCAUCCUAGCCCCUGAGACUGAACUCAGUAGCUCUCAUGGGCAUGGUGAUAUUGAGCAUUUCUGAUGUGUUUACACAGAAGGCUGCCAUGAUGCUGGUUUGUCCAGUCAUCUCAAGGAGUCUCAUGCACCAGAAAGAAGGAGCCUUAAUCCACUUGUUCAAAUGGUCAUGUGACUUCUCAGGUCCUUUUCCAUUGAAUAAGAGGGAAAAUCCAGAGAUAAGCCCAUAGCAAAGACUUACAGAGCCAACAUUCUCAUCUGUACAUAUGUGCUUAAGCUCAGGUUGUAUACAGUUAAGCAGACUGUGUCUCUGUUCUGUUCCCAAAAGGGAACAUUAUGUUCCAACUAGAGAGUAGAUAUUGUCUUCUGCCCUGGUGACAAAUAUUUGCAAUUUAUAUUCCCUAGACUGAACUGAUGAGUAAGAAAAAGCACUAAAAGAAAUUGGGGAUCAUACCAUUCCUGUCAUCCCAACAAUUGACAGGUAGUGAUGGAAAUAUUAUCAAUUUUAACACAGAUUCUCAACGUAUGGGUCACCUCCUCUUUGAAGCUAGGAGAACAUUUUCACAGGAGUAACAUUUCUGGUAUCCUGAAUAUCAGAUAUUUAUAUUAUGAUCAUAACUGUAGCAAAAUUGAAGUCAUGAAAUACCAAUGAAAUAAUUCUAUGAUUGUAGUCACCGCAACAGGAAGAAAUGUCAGAGCAUUAGGAAGCUUGAGAACCACAGAAUUAGAGGCUAUUCUUGGUACUUCUUGAGUUUAGGCCAGCCUGGGUUACAUGAGACUCUGUUGUUACAUCAACAGCAAAGCUUAACAAAACUGAAAACAGUAAAGUGUGUCAUGAAAAAGGGCCCUCACUCAGCUUCCUUUUCGUUGGAGAUGGAGAACUUGAAUAUGAUACUUAGCUUCUCUCCAUAUUUAUAUAAAAUAUAUGUUGACUAGCAAUACUUCAGUUUUUGUAAGUUUGUUUUUGUUUUCUUCUGUUUUGGAGGAGGGGGUUUCUGUAUUAUGUACAUCUGAUUGUCCUGGAACAUGCUUUGUACACAAAGGCUGGCCUCACAAUCAGAAAAUCUCCUGCUGCUGCAUCCUACUAAAUGUACCCACAUGGUAGGGUAUUAACACUUUCCAUUUUUUUGUUCAUUUAUUUGUUUUGGUUUUGGUUUGUUUUAAGCUAAAUAUAAUAACCCUGAGGAGGGGGGUGUGAGUUUCUUUGUUUCUGUGACCACAAACUUGAUGACAUACCUAUAAAUGUCUCUGUCCUUGGCUAUCAGCAGAUGUUGGGGGAGACUGAACUCUUUCCCCAGUCCCACUCACUGGCCCUUUAGAACACAGUGUGGAGUCUCUUCCUGGGGACUCCCCUGGACAGGUGUGAAGGCAAGAGCUCAUCUGAGGCUGAGGAGCAGUGAGGCAGAUGAAGACCAUGAUGUCAUCCUAGGGAAGAAACAUGAGGUCAGUUGGCAGCAGGCAACUGUGCUAUCAUAAAAGUGAAACUUCGGCCUGAGCAUUCUGUCUACACCACCAGCUGCCAUUCUUCCCCCACCCUCUCUAGCUUCUCCACUCUGUCCCUGCACCAGUCUGCAGAGGAACUUUGUUACCACACUCUGGAUCUUUGUGUUUUCACUAGGGAAGAGCGAUCAAUGAGUGUAUGUGUAAGGAAGUGGUGACGAGAAGGGAGAAGACAGGGACAGUUUUCAUUUAUGAGGGUAUCUCCUGGGCCCACAGAGCCUGCAGUAUGUGUUAUCUGAAGGAUGCCUCUGGAAUUGGAUUAUCUACAGAGAAACAGGAAGGGUAUAGCCUGUUUUCUCCCCCUGCUGUAAUGGGAUAAGUUAAUUAGUUAUAAAGUCAGAGAGUCUGUAUGCUGUGAACAAUGUCACGAACUAGAGUCUCCAGAAUCACAGUGCCUCGUCUUAGGGAGACCUUGUUUAGUCAGGAUGAUGACGGGUAAUAUGUUGUAGCAGACCAUAUGUGAAAGGAUCCUUGCAUGGUACAUGUUUGAGUUCCAGUGCCUGUGUGUGCAAGUCAGUUUGGGCCCAUGUAUGGAAGUGGAGAGGACAACCUCAGGUAUGGUAAUUAGCAACACCAUCCAAGUUCACCAUCAACCUUGUGUUUCUGUUUUUGAUUGAUUGGUGUUUUGUUUGAUACAUAGACUUUUGUAGGUUUGGCUGGGAUUUAUUGGUCACAUUGUUGGAUUUAUUUUGGUUUGUUUAUUCUUUAACACAAGUUUUAAGUCUGUUCCCUUUCCUCUCUAAAAUCUGGAUACAUAGACCAUACAGCUUCAAACUCAAUGAGAUCCAUGUGCUUCUGUCUUCCUCCUCCCAAAUCUUGACUUGUAUGCCCAUGACCAAAGUGGGUUAUAAUUUUUAAAUAAUACUUACUCAUUCAUUCUGGGGUGUGUGGGUAGGUGGGGACACAUGUGCUACUCCCUCAGCAUCACUCCAACCCUGCAGGCUGACACUCCUCAUGGUCCUGUCAUAUGCAAAAGCCCUGUGUGCGCACAAACCACAGAUUUCCUGUCCCAAGAAGAGAUCAGGACUUGGGAUUAUGGAGCCAGCAGGUGGCAGCAGUGCAGCUGAGCACAGGGCUUAGUUAGCAUCCUUAAACCCCACCAGAGGCUGCUGUAUUAAAAACCUGGUGUCCAGCAGCUGACUUAUGGCAGUCUUGUCAGGUCCAGGCCCUCCUUGGGUGGGUUAGUAACCAGAUGACCUUGUAACCAGAGACCUCAGACAGGCAGGGUAAGGUAGAUGAAAUCUGGAGGUGAGUGCUCAUGUCCAUGAGGACAUUCUUACCUCACUGAGCCAUAGAUGUUCAUCUAGUAGAGUGUGUUCUUGCCUGUCAUGGACAGAAAAUGAUGUUCUUUGUUCACUGAGAUACAAAGGAUCAGGAUCAUUCACACCUGUAUUCACCACUGAGGGGAGGCACAGAUAGGAGGGUCUGUAGGAGUUUCAUAUCAUCCUUGAAUACAUAACAAAUUUAAGGACAAGCUUGGUCAAGCCACACCCUAAAUACCUGUCAGAUGAGCACCUGUCAUUCCAAAAGAUUGGGGACUCUUUUGGGAAGUUUAUUAUGAGAGGCAUGCAAGGGAACAAGAGAGAUGUUUCAGGUAGGGAGGUGUUCAUGGGUAGCAGGGCCUGAGUUUGAUGUGGAGCAGCCACACUGUAAAUCAGGGAUAUGGCAGGAAUUUGUAAUCCCAGCCCUGCAUGAGCAAGAGACAGGGAGAGGCAUGGGGCUGACCGUGUAGUUAUUCUAGCCUAAUUGGUGAGGUCAAAACCCAUGAGAGCCAUGGUAUAAAAAACUGUGUGGAUUUCUCAAGAUGAUCCAUCAUGGUCAUAACAUUUUAUAAGUGUAUGGUAAAUGAAGAAUUUUAAAAUGCUAUAUUAAUGAACAACAUAACAGUGUAUGGCAGUGAGAUAUGGAGCUCAGUAGAAAUGCUGCCUAGGACAAUGACCUGGGUGUGAUUCCUGGGGAUUCAAAUGGUACAUGGAGAAAACUGACUGUGGACAAUUGUCCUCUGCCUGUCAGGAUCACCCACAGGCUCCUGGUGAGACAUCAUCUGUUAGUCCUCAUUUAACAUACCUCCUGGUGCCAUGACCUCUCACCAUGGAGGUGAGUUCCUUCAAAGUAAUGAUUGAGGGGUCUCACCCCGCAUAUCACCACCCUCCCUGCCUCCUGCCUGGGAAUGAGAGCACUUGGAUGCAGGAUUGUGUGUGAUACAUCCUAGGAAUCCAUGUCAGUUCUGAUGUCCUCUCUUUUGAACCCAUGUCAUCCUGUCUGUCUCUGGUCAUGAGAGCCUGACUGGUGUUCUCUGUUGGUUUAUGGAUUUGUAAUACUUUUUAAUAAAUGUGGGAUAAUAAAUAAAACAAUUCAAGGAUCCAGUUCAGAGCAAUACUAAGAUCAAAGAAGAAAAUCUCAUUCUGAGAGCAGCAGAAGUUAGGAGUGUUCACUCCUUCUCCAGUCUGUAUAUUCAGGUCCAAGAAACGUGUACCACCCCUACUCUGCCAUUCUUGAUGAAGUAAUAACAAGAUGGCCGAAUUACAGGUCUAAUUUCCUGUUUCUCCAUUGAG